AGAGAAAAAAAGACCAAAUAGUCAACCUUGAUGGGUUAUGGGAUGAUUAUGCCUUGCGUGGUAUGUUGAUCAGCUUAGGUGAGUAUGUCAUCCGAUAAAUUCAUAUGAAAAAAGAGACUCCAAUGGUGCCGGACGUCUUGGUACACAUAUUGGUAUAUAGAUGUAAGUCUAAAGAAGUGCCUACUCACGUGGCAUAGAGCGAAGACCAGCUCUGGUAUGGAUUGCCUGCAGUGGUAGUGAUCCCCCACUUAUGGGAAAACAGAGGGCGGUAUUGGUCUCAGCAGCAGUCUUAUUCAACAGAGGUUAGAAACCUCAGGUAUAUAUAAAAAAUAGUGCAACAAUAGUGCUCACUGUAUAAAAUAUGUAAUAUAUGAUAAAAACCAAAAGGUUAUACUCACAUUUAACUGAGCAGACAACCUACUCGGUUAUAUAGGCGUGGGUGGUAUAAUCCCCACCAAGGAUGCGUGGUGAGGUCCUUUUUUGGAAAUGAUGGAUCAGGAUGCCAGGUUAAAAAAAAAAAAAAAAAGGAAGGAAGAAAAAAAGGGUUCAGGUACAAUAGAGUAUUAAAAUAGUAACCAACAACCUUUUAUUAUAACAAAAUAAAAUCAAGUGUUUUUUUUUAACCACUUGAAAAAGCCCACCGGGUGAAACGCGUUGUGGAUUGAUUUUAUUUUGUUAUAAUAAAAGGUUGUUGGUUACUCUUUUUAUACUCUUUUAUACCAGACCUUUUUUUCUUCCUUCCUUUUUUUACCUGGCAUCCUGAUCCAUCAUUUCAAAAAAAGGAUCUCACCAUGCAUCCUUGGUGGGGAUUAUACCACCCACACCUAUAUGGCAUAAUCAUCCCAUCACCCAUCAAGGUUGACUAUUUGGACUUUUUUUCUCUGAUAUUUUGGACAGUGUUUUUAUAGUAUAUCUUAUAUUUUGUCAUACCCACGAAGAUCUCUCAUUUUUGUUUCAUCCCUUAUCCCUUAGUGCACCCUUCUCUCUGUGUUUUGUAUAUGGAUGGUAUAAUCCCUGUUUUAGGAUUUGUAGUGUAGUAAAGCGGAAUCUAUAAUCUCCUCUUAAAAUAUCAGCUUGAAAUGUAAAGAUAAAAAAAGUAAUAUCCAAUGGUGUAGUUUAAAAGAAAUUGCCAGAGAUGGAUAUAAAAUAUUUUACUUGCAUAACCUAGAGCAAGAACCUUAAAAGUACUUUAUAAAAUAUAUACAGAUAUAGUUUAUUUAUUUUGAAAAGGCCUUUGUCAAAAUGCAUCCGGUAAACCCUUAUCUGGACUUUUACAUUAUUGGACGUGUAUUAUUCACAGAAACCCAAGCAAAGAAAGGAGGUUUUUCGUAACCAGAAUUAUUUGUGCUGGUAACAAGGUACUAUCCAGGUUUAAUGAAGGACAGUCUUAGUACAGCAAACGUUUGGGGCUUUUACCCUUUAUCAAUGCAUUGUGUCAGAAGACCUGAAUAAUAAAGGGCACAAAACGUUUGCUGCACUAAGACUGUCCUUCAUUAAACCUGGAUCGCACCUUGGUACCAGCACAAAUAAUUCUAUCUGCUUGUGUUUCUGGAUUUCUAGACUUGGGGGGGUGCUUGCUGCACAGUUAAUUUCUUAUGAUUUCUUGUCAAGUAUUUUGUUUUAUUGUGCCUCACUUGUAUUAUUCGAUUGGUUUUUAUUUUAUAAAUUUAUGUUUGUUUUGC